GUGGGGAAUAUUGGACAAUGGGCGCAAGCCUGAUCCAGCCAUGCCGCGUGAGUGAUGAAGGCCUUAGGGUUGUAAAGCUCUUUCAGUGGGGACGAUAAUGACGGUACCCACAGAAGAAGCCCCGGCUAACUUCGUGCCAGCAGCCGCGGUAAUACGAAGGGGGCUAGCGUUGUUCGGAUUUACUGGGCGUAAAGCGCACGUAGGCGGAUCGUUAAGUCGGGGGUGAAAUCCUGGAGCUCAACUCCAGAACUGCCUUCGAUACUGGCGAUCUUGAGUCCGGAAGAGGUGAGUGGAACUCCUAGUGUAGAGGUGGAAUUCGUAGAUAUUAGGAAGAACACCAGUGGCGAAGGCGGCUCACUGGUCCGGUACUGACGCUGAGGCGCGAAAGUGUGGGGAGCAAACAGGAUUAGAUACCCGUGUAGUCC
rnacentral:rRNA from 1 species